UACGAAGGGGGCUAGCGUUGCUCGGAAUCACUGGGCGUAAAGCGCACGUAGGCGGAUCGUUAAGUCAGGGGUGAAAUCCUGGAGCUCAACUCCAGAACUGCCUUUGAUACUGGCGACCUUGAGUUCGGGAGAGGUGAGUGGAACUGCGAGUGUAGAGGUGAAAUUCGUAGAUAUUCGCAAGAACACCAGUGGCGAAGGCGGCUCACUGGCCCGAUACUGACGCUGAGGUGCGAAAGCGUGGGAGCGAAGAGG
rnacentral:rRNA from 1 species